rnacentral:lncRNA from 1 species
AUGGUGCUGCCGGGGGGGUGUGGAGCGGAUCCGCCCGAGCUGCCCCCCCCCCCCCCCCCCCCCCCCCCCCCCCCCCCCCCCCCCCCCCCCCCCCCCCCCCCCCCCCCCCCCCCCCCCCCCCGGGCUCGGGGCUACCGGGCUGGGCUCCGGGCUACCUACCCGGGCUCCGGGCUACCUGCUCAGGGCUACCUAACCCGGCUCCGGGCUACCUGCUUGGGCUCCGGGGCUACCUGCCGGGGCUCAGGGCUACCUGCUCGGGUUCCUGGGCUACCUGCUCCGGUUUCUGGGCUACCUGGCCGGGCUCGGGGUUCUCUGCCCCGGCUGCCACCGCACGCAGCCCCGGGGAGCGGGGAGAACGCGGCCGGAGCCAGAAAACAAGGAAUCCCAAAGUGCAGCUGGCUGAGCCUCCCCUGACCUCAACAUCUGGGACCAAAGUGAUCUGGGCUGGAAACUUUGGGGCACAGGCAGCUGUUCCUGGCAUCAAAUCCCACUGCUGAGCCUCCCCUGGCAUCAAACCUCACUGCUGAGCCUCCUCUGAUAUCAAACCUCACUGCUGAGCCUCCUCUGAUAUCAAACCUCACUGCUGAGCCUCCUCUGAUAUCAAACCUCACUGCUGAGCCUCCUCUGAUAUCAAACCUCACUGCUGAGCCUCCUCUGAUAUCAAACCUCACUGCUGAGCCUCCUCUGAUAUCAAACCUCACUGCUGAGCCUCCUCUGAUAUCAAACCUCACUGCUGAGCCUCCUCUGAUAUCAAACCUCACUGCUGAGCCUCCUCUGAUAUCAAACCUCACUGCUGAGCCUCCUCUGAUAUCAAACCUCACUGCUGAGCCUCCUCUGAUAUCAAACCUCACUGCUGAGCCUCCUCUGAUAUCAAACCUCACUGCUGAGCCUCCUCUGAUAUCAAACCUCACUGCUGAGCCUCCUCUGAUAUCAAACCUCACUGCUGAGCCUCCUCUGAUAUCAAACCUCACUGCUGAGCCUCCUCUGAUAUCAAACCUCACUGCUGAGCCUCCUCUGAUAUCAAACCUCACUGCUGAGCCUCCUCUGAUAUCAAACCUCACUGCUGAGCCUCCUCUGACCCCCCCCCCCCCCCCCCCCCCCCCCCCCCCCCCCCCCCCCCCCCCCCCCCCCCCCCCCCCCCCCCCCCCCCCCCCCCCCCCCCCCCCCCCC